AUUCCAAUCGAACGCGGAGAUAGCUGGUUCUCCCCGAAAUAGCUUUAGGGCUAGCCUGAGGUAGUAAGUAUAGGCGGUAGAGCACUGAUCGGGCUAGGGGCCGUAAAGGUUACCGAACCCUGUCAAACUCCGAAUGGAUAUACUGUAGAGCCUUGGAGUCAGACUACGAGUGAUAAGAUCCGUGGUCAAAAGGGAAACAGCCCAGACCACCAGCUAAGGUCCCCAAUGUCGUACUAAGUGGAAAAGGAUGUGGGGUUUCAUAAACAACCAGGAUGUUGGCUCAGAAGCAGCCACCAUUUAAAGAGUGCGUAAUAGCUCACUGGUCGAGAGACCCUGCGCCGAAGAUUCCCGGGGCUAAAGUACGAAACCGAAGCUGUGGCUGUAUACGUAAAGUAUACGGGGUAGGGGAGCGUUCCCAUAGGGUAGAAGUCGAACUGGAAGGUUCGGUGGACUUGUGGGAAGUGAGAAUGUUGGUAUGAGUAGCGAAAAGAAAGGUGAGAAUCCUUUCCACCGAAAGCAUAAGGAUUCCUGAGCAACGAUCGUCGUCUCAGGGUAAGUCGGGACCUAAUCCGAGGCAGAGAGCGUAGGAGAUGGACAACUGGUUGAUAUUCCAGUACCGGUAGUAAUUGUUUGAGCAAUGGAGUGACACAGAAGGGCAGGCAAGCAUGCGAAUGGAAGAGCAUGUGUAAGCGUGUAGGGUGGUGCAUAGGCAAAUCCGUGCACUGAAAGCCUGAGGCGUGAUGCGGAGUGAGCAGAGAUGCGAGCGAAGUUGUUGACCCCACACUGUCGAGAAAAGCUUCUAGUGAGAGAGCUACCGCCCGUACCGUAAACCGACACAGGUAUGCGGGGAGAGAAUCCUAAGGUGCGCGGGAGAACCCUCGUUAAGGAACUCGGCAAAAUGUACCCGUAACUUCGGGAUAAGGGUAGCCACUGUUGUGAAGUCCCACGCGGAUGGAGCAUAGAGUGGUCGCAGAGAAGAGGCCCAAGCGACUGUUUACCAUAAACACAGGUGCCUGCUAAAGCGAAAGCUGACGUAUAGGUGCUGACACCUGCCCAGUGCCGGAAGGUUAAGGAAGGAUGUUCGGAUUAGUCCAAAGCAUUCGACUGAAGCCCCGGUGAACGGCGGCCGUAACUAUAACGGUCCUAAGGUAGCGAAAUUCCUUGUCGGGUAA
rnacentral:rRNA from 1 species